UAUAUACUCCCUCCGUUUGAAAAAGCUUGUCCCACAAAUGGAUGUGUCUAGCACUAAGUUAGUGUUAGAUACAUCCAUUUAAGGGAUAAGUUUUUUGAACGGAAGGAGUACAUA
rfam:Triticum aestivum genome assembly, contig: Triticum_aestivum_CS42_TGACv1_scaffold_570210_7AS